rnacentral:rRNA from 1 species
GCCUCCCUCGCGGCCAUCAGACUCCUAACGGGGGCAGCAGUGGGAAUUUGCGCAAUGGGGAAACCCUGACGCAGCAACGGCCGCGUGGAGGUAUGAAAUCCCUUGGGAUGGUAAACUCCUUUCGAUCGGGAAGAUAAUGACGGUACCGAGAGAAGAAGCCCGGCUAACUUCGUGCCAGCAGCCGCCGUAAUAC